GACCGCUUGGCUCAAUGGUAGCGCGUUCGACUCCAGAUCGAAGGAUUAGGCGUUCGAUCCGCUCAGUGGUCA
rnacentral:tRNA from 1 species